GCCUGGUGCCUGUGGAGGCCAGAAAAUGGCAGCUGUUAUCCUAAAACUGAAGUUGAGACAGUUGUGAAGUGCCAGGGGCUCGGUCUUAUGUGGAGAUCCUCGAUCCCUCUAGAGGCUGUGCAGGAUAAGGAGUAAGAAUCACAUUUCAUGAUCCCUCUAUAUAGUCCUGGCUGUCCUGCAACUUGCUCUGCUAGACCAGGCUGGCCUUGAACGCACAGGUACGUCUGGCUCUGCCUCAAAAGAGCUGGGAUCAAAGGUGUGCGCCACCACACCUGGCCAGCUGUAAGUACUUGUUACGUCCUUUGUGGUUUCCCAGCUAUAAAGGGAUUCGUCCUGGGACUCAGUAACGGAUCUCACCCACCCACUGCAAUGACGGCUCAGGACCGGACAAUCUGUACAGUUCACUAGAUCAAAAACAGUUAACAUUCAAGAGAGGAUGCACAAGCAGGGAGCGGCAGGUCUUAAGACUCAGGACUGGGUACCAUGGCAGCCGCCAGUUGGAGGUGCACCCCUUGCUCCACCACUCUGUGCUCUUGGCCUAGCAGGCCCCUCCUUGUCUCUCUCAUUUCUGACUUCUGGUCAGCUUGACUACCUUCACAACGGUGCCCUAUCAGGAGGUAAACGGCUUGCCUCCAGGUUCCCAGCCUGCGCCUUGUCUGAGUGUCUGCUGAAGCCUCCCAGCUAGCACUUGGAGUCUCACAGCUCAUACCGCACCACCGGUGAUCCCUCCUGACCAUCACUGUGCUGCUGGGCCUACUUCCACCCGGAGUCAAGAACCCUGGUGGAGCAGGAGUGUGCUUCCCACUGGAAUCAAAACCAAGGGCCGCGUGGCUCACAUAGCCACCGCCUGUCGGAACCUAGCCACGCUUCCUUGCAUGUCUCACUGACCCUGGAGGCUGGAGGUUUGGUUUUUCAACUAAGUUUGCUCUUGGAUAGCUUUGUGCUUAUAUAUCAGAAUAGAUGUAUAUGUAUAUGUGUAUAUGUGUGUAUAUAUACACACACACACACAUAUGUGUAUGUACACACACGAGAGACAUUCACAUACACUUUGUUUUAGUUUGUUUUGCUUUUUUGAGACAGGGUUUCUCUCCUAGGGCUCAAGCUGGCCUCCAACUAAGAGAGCUGGAUUAAGCACAUGUACCAGCACGACCAGGCUAAUAUACACAUCUUUAUCCCUCUCCCCUCAGCCUCUUACCUCCCUCCUGCUUCUGUAGCCCACCCCAGCCCCUUUCCCACACGUUUACACAAACGUUCCUUCUUGGAGGAGGCCUCCCUGGCCAUCGGCUCUGGAAAGGUCACAGCGAGCACCUGCUGCACUUUUUCUUGUUUCCCUGAAGCACUGUCUCUGCUGGCCGCUCUCACUCUCCCGUCCCCGGACGGUAUGACCUGUGUCUGCUACUCACCGAUUUUCCCUGAGGUCCCAGUGUCUGUUACCCUGCAGGGCAGGUCCCUAGGAUACCACAAAGAAUGGGUGGCUGGAGUGGCCACAGACCUGCAGAGCGGGGAGUAGCUGGAGACUCACUCCAUUCCAAAGGCCAGCGACUCCUCCAUCUGCCACCCCACUGUGUCACAAUGUGGAUGGAACUGAGGCCAGGAAGCUUGGCAGUGAUGCGCAUGUGCAGGAGCUGCCCCUAACUCCGAAGUGGCACAGUCUCUGUAUGCCAGGUCCUGUGAUCUUAUCAGCCAUCCCGUCUCUGUCAUUUUAGCUUUGGCUUUUGAGAUGGAGUCUCUCUCUCUAUAGCUCUCGCUUGCUGGGACUCUUAGACUAGGUUAGAUUCUCCUGCCUCUGCUUCCCGGAUGCUGAGACUAAAACAUACGCAGCCAUGCCCAGCUUUUGUUCUCUUUUAUAAUAAAGUUCUCCUAAGUGCCGUGAGGCCCUAGGAAUCUAGGAGAAUGGCUGGGGGAGAAAAAGCCCUGAGUCCAAAGCCAGUCUGUCAGAAGUAUAGGUGGCUUGAGUUCUCCAUGUGUGGCUGAGGGAAGAAGUGAGGGCACGUUGUGUCCUAAACCUUGGACUCUGUCUGCUCAGGCUGCAGCCAUCGGGACUACAGAGCAGCAAUGCAAUGCAAG
rnacentral:lncRNA from 1 species